rnacentral:piRNA from 1 species
UAACUGACAUAAGUUAGGGACUGUUUUGU